rnacentral:rRNA from 1 species
GACGUGGGGGGCGAGCGUUGUCCGGAUUUAUUGGGCGUAAAGCGUGCGUAGGCGGCUGCGCAAGUCGGUUGUGAAACCCCGGGGCUCAACCCCGGAACUGCAUCCGAUACUGCGUGGCUAGAGGUAGGUAGGGGAGAUCGGAAUUCCUGGUGUAGCGGUGAAAUGCGCAGAUAUCAGGAGGAACACCGGUGGCGAAGGCGGAUCUCUGGGCCUUACCUGACGCUCAGGCACGAAAGCUAGGGGAGCGAACAGG